GAAUGGGAACUCUAGACCAAACACAAUUGAAGAGAAAAUUGAUGAGCUGGAAAUAUCACCAGAAAGUACUACAGAGUGAAAAAGUAACAAAAAAUAUGAAAGAGAAGUGAAGAGUCACAGAAGGGAGUUCAAAAAACUCUAAUAAUCAUAUAAUGGGCACGAUCUCACUGCAGCCUCAACUUCCCUUAAGCAAUCCUCCCACCUCAGCCUCCCAAGAAGCUGGGACCACAGGUGAAUGCCACCAUGUUUGGCUAACUUUCUGUAUUUUUUGUAGAGAUCAGGUUUUGCCAUGUUGCCCAGACUGGUCUCGAACUCCUGGGCUCAAGUGAUCCUCCUGCCUCGGCCUCCCAAAGUGCUGGGAUUAUAGGUGUGAGCCACUGUGCCCAGCCUAGAUUUGAGUUUUAAAACUGAAAUUCAGCUUUGUGCUAUGUAUAGGAGACAUAGUUAAGAAAUGACAUAGAAUAGCUAAAAAUUAAAUGAAAAAAAGCUAAAUCAGACAAACACUAAUAAAAAGAAAACUGACAUAGCAAAUUUAAUAGCAGAUCAAAUAAAUUUUAGGUCAAAAUUUUAUAAAUAGGGAUAAAGGGGAACAUUUAUGGCUGGGUGCGGUGGCUCAUGUCUGUAAUCCCAGCACUUUGGGAGGCCCAGGCGGGCGGAUCACUUGAGGUUAGGAGUUCAAGACCAGCCCGGCUAACAUGGCAAAAAGCCAUCUCUACAAAAAAUACAAAAAUUAGCUGGGCAUGGUGUUGUGCAACUGUAGUCCCAGCUACUCAGGAGGCUGACGAAGGAACAUGACUUGAACCUGGGAGGCAGAAGCUGCAGUGAGCUGAGAUCGCGCCUCUGCACUCCAGCCUGGGCGAUAGAGGAGACUCCCUCUCAAAAAAAAAAAAAAAAAGAAAAAAAAAAGAAAGAACAUUUGCAAUAAGAAAAGAACAAUCCUGCAAGAAGUAACAGAUUUGUAUGUUCUUAGGAUAACCUCAGUAUUUAGAUUAUGCAUUAUUUUCAAACACACUUUGGAUAUUUAUAAAAAUUGACCCUCUUGAUAAAACAAUCACAUCUUCUGACUAUAAUGCAGUUAAAUUAGAAAUCCACAGUUAAAAAAAGAGUAUAUGACAAGAGAUAAAUCUAUAUAUCUGAAAACCAUAAAACCAAUUCCCCAAAAUAGUUUUUGGGUUAAAGAGGAAAUCAUAAUAGAAAUUUUUUUGCUUUUAUUUUGCUCAAAAAACAUUUCUCAGAAACCCUCUUUACUUGUAUAGCUUUUGUGUUUUUAUCCUUGUUCUUUAUCCUCAAUACCUUCUGCUUUUACAUUGUAAACUUACCGUCUUCACGGUUUUUGGCUUUCAGUGCUAACCUUUGUAUUUUUAACUUUUAAAUCUCAUAGACAUCUAAUCUUUUACGUAUCUAUUAUUAUCGUUAAUGUCUAGGAUAAGCACCAUCUUUGGAAGCACGGCCUCAAGAUGAUGACAUGGAGGGGACUCACACUUACAGGUAGGGGAGCUUCAGGUCUGCCGGCCCUCUCCUCCCUCCUUGUCACCCCUCAACCUCUGGGCUGCCCUUUGGGCUCAUAACAAUGGAUCUCAGAGCCCAAGGAGGUUGGGCUUCCACUCUGGGGGACUCUGGAAGCUCCUGGGUUAACUACUCUCAGGGCUCUGGUUUUCUCCAUGUAGAUAAAAUACUUGAUUUCUUGGAACAAUUUUUCUUUCUCAGUCUGAGGGCUCUGAUAUAUACAUAACCUUUGUAUUUGGGCCAUCGACACCAACCACAUGCCGUGAGGCUGGAGGGAAUGGAAGGAGAGCAGGUGGUUAUGACUGCAGACCUUGGCCUGACCCCAGGGAGCGCCGGGGUGGUUUUAUCAUUUCCUGGGCAUCACAGCACUGUUUUCCAGGCUCUUUCGGGGUUAAACAUCAGGCUUGCUGCAACUCUGCCAGGCAGAACGGCUUUCUUCAUGUGGCAAGACCCAAAGUGGGCAGCCAGGUCCACCUGGGGACAAGGGCGCCAGACUCACCUCUCACUGGAGGCUGGGAAGGAUUCUCAAUGCACAGGAAAGUUCUCUGCCCCUCAUCCAUCUCCCAAAAAAGGAAGAGGACACACUUCUGGAGAGGUUAGAACUCCAAUUUUAAAACCUGCCUCUUCCCAUUUUCAAGGAGGUUUAUAUUACUUGUUCCUCUGGUUAUCAAGGAAAAUAAUUGAAAAGAGAAUAAGUGCACUCUGACUUCUGUCACUUUUAAGCUAUGCAGAUGACAGGAACAUCUUUUUUUCCAGUUUUGAUUUGGCUUCCUGGCAAGCUUCUUGUUUUUCUUAACAUAUACAUUCUUUAAGUCAAUAUGCGUGCUCUCAGCUCAUACAUAUGAUCCCUGG
rnacentral:lncRNA from 1 species